rnacentral:rRNA from 1 species
GAAUCUUCCACAAUGGACGAAAGUCUGAUGGAGCAAUGCCGCGCGAGUGAGGAAGGUUUUCGGUUCGUAAAACUCUGUUGUGAGGGAAGAACAAGUAGUCGGGUACCUGCUCGUACCUUGACGGUACCCCCUUAUAAAGCCACGGCUACCUACGUUCCAGCAGCAGCGGUAAUACGUAGGGGGCAAGCGUUGUCCGGAAUUAUUGGGCGUAAAGCGCGCGCAGGCGGUCCCUAAGGUGUGAUGUGAAAUCCGACGGCUCAACCGUGGAAGGUCAUUGGAAACUGGGGGACGUGAGUACAGAAGAGGAAAGCGGAAUUCCAAGUGUAGCGGUGAAAUGCGUAGAGAUUUGGAGGAACACCAGUGGCGAAGGCGGAUUUCUGGUCUGCAACUGACGCUGAGGCGCGAAAGUGUGGGGAGCAAACA